UACGGGGGGAGCAAGCGUUGUUCGGAUUUACUGGGCGUAAAGGGCGCGUAGGCGGCGCAACAAGUCACUUGUGAAAUCUCCGGGCUUAACUCGGAAAGGUCAAGUGAUACUGUUGUGCUAGAGUGUGGAAGGGGCAACUGGAAUUCUCGGUGUAGCGGUGAAAUGCGUAGAUAUCGAGAGGAACACCUGCGGCGAAGGCGGGUUGCUGGGCCGACACUGACGCUGAUGCGCGAAAGCCAGGGGAGCGAACGGG
rnacentral:rRNA from 1 species